rnacentral:rRNA from 1 species
GACGAACGCUGGCGGCGUGCUUAACACAUGCAAGUCGAACGGUGAAGCGCCUUCCUUUUUGGUGGGUGUGGAUGAGUGGCGAACGGGUGAGUAACACGUGAGUAACCUGCCCCCUUCUUCUGGAUAACCGCAUGAAAGUGUGGCUAAUACGGGAUAUUCUGGGUCUGUCGCAUGAUGGGUCUGGGAAAGAUAUUGUUUCGGUGGGGGAUGGGCUCGCGGCCUAUCAGCUUGUUGGUGGGGUGAUGGCCUACCAAGGCGGUGACGGGUAGCCGGCCUGAGAGGGGGGGCGGGCACCCUGGGGCUGAGACCCGCCCCGGCCUCCUCCGGGAGGCAGCGGGGGGGAUUAUGGCACAUGGGCGGAAAGCUUGUUCCGGCGCCGCGGCGUGGGGGUUGGAGGCCUUCGGGUGGUGAUCCUUUUUCGCCAGUGAAGCAGGCCGGCCCGUUUUGUGGGUGGGUUGCCGGUGGCUGAAUAGGCGGCGCCGGCUACCUACGUC